AAUGGUUGGCUUUCCCGUUCUGACCACCCUAGGCCAAUGUGCGCGCAGCAAGUGCCGUAGUUACUGCCGCUGAACUGUCGUGUUGUGAUGCUUCCCCGUUCAUCGUGCGAACGCAACGCGCUGUCACCAACGGAAUGCGCUUGCAUGACUCCGACCGGCGACUCGUACGGCAUCAGCAUCUUUGGUGUCGGACUGGUCCGGAGAGCCGAAGGCAGCUGUUCCAGCCUUGGGUGAUGCAGGUGCCGGAAGAACAUGCUAUAUGGCACUGCAUCUGUAAUACUGACAGAACAUGGACACCAGCAAGAGCCCUCCAGACGUUUUCGAAAAGAUGAUGUACUACGCGCUUUUAUGCACCAUUUUUCACUUGUAAAUAUAUUUGGCAUGUGCCAAAGCUCUAUGUGGCAUUGUCAGAGCUAGUAGCUGUCCUUGAAAUUGUUGCACGCUUUUGUGUAGUUGGACAAACUUUGCUAAAAGGGCCGCUCACCAGGUUUGGGCAAUGCAGGCGAUUGUGUCUGUAAACUAUGGAAUGGCCAUGUGGGAUGAGAACAGUUGAAGCCUAACACGAAAGUCUGUGCACCCUUUCUUUUGUGGAAGCUACACUUCAAGAGAAGAGUGAGAGGUUAGUGCAUGUGUGCCUUUGUCUUGGGCACUUCUCCAAACUUCUGCAGCCAUUGUAGAGUUUUGUGUGCAGUAUACGGAC